rnacentral:rRNA from 1 species
UUAGUCGGGUCACACUGGUAACGGUGGCUAAUACCGGAUGUGCCGAGAGGUGAAAGAUUUAUUGCCUGAAGAUGAGCUCGCGUCUGAUUACCUAGUUGGGGGGGUAAGAGCCUACCAAGGCGACGAUCAGUAGCUGGUCUGAGAGGAUGAUCAGCCACACUGGGACUGAAACACGGCCCAAACUCCUACGGGAGGCAGCAGGGGGGAAUUUUCCGCAAUGGGCGAAAGCCUGACGGAGCAAUACCGCGUGAGGGAGGAAGGCUCUUGGGUUGUAAACCUCUUUUCUCAGGGAAUAAAAAAAUGAAGGUACCUGAGGAAUAAGCAUCGGCUAACUCCGUGCCAGCAGCCGCGGUAAUACGGAGGAUGCAAGCGUUAUCCGGAAUGAUUGGGCGUAAAGCGUCCGCAGGUGGCUAUGUAAGUCUGCUGUUAAAGAGUGAGGCUCAACCUCAUAAAAGCGGUGGAAACUACAUGGCUAGAGUGCGUUCGGGGCAGAGGGAAUUCCUGGUGUAGCGGUGAAAUGCGUAAAGAUCAGGAAAAACACCGGUGGCGAAAGCGCUCUGCUAGGCCGCAACUGACACUGAGGGACGAAAGCUAGGGGAGCGAAUGGGAUUAGAUACCC